UAAGGAGUCAACUGGCGAUUGUUAUGCUACAGGAGACGACUCCUUCAGAAAAAAACCGUUAAACCCUGCGGCUGAAAUCAAAUCUCUCAAUUUCUUUUACUUGUUUUGUGACUUGGACGCCUUAUUUGUCAGCGCAAUCAAUGCCAGAAGGAGGGUCGUCCCUAAGUGGCUUCACAUUGAACUUCUGAGCACGUGGUUCCCGCCCAUUCGGUGCAGGAGUGAGGUGCCAGCAGCCAAUGAAAGUCGCACCCCGUGUUCGUCACGUACCAACCAGUCACGUGACAAUCAGUGGAUAAAAAGGGAAAUUUUGCGCGGGAGCACCAGUCAACAAUAAUAUCAGCAAAAGUGGAGGUUAACUUAAUGUCUCCCAAAAGAAGUUAGAAACCACUUCUUCGUUCUUAAUAUAUAUAACAGCAUUGGAUUAUAGAGUGUUUCUCGAGGAGGGUACUCUACUUCCCCAAACAUUAGUUGAAACAAACAAACAAUAUGCAUAUUGAGGAAGCUGCAGAUGCAGUGAACUGCGACGUGGAAGCUUUGAUGCUUCAAGAACACAACGGAUUAUUUACACCGAAUUUGGACUAUGGUGCACAACCUUCUUGGGAUUACUCUAUGAAUUCCAGUGCAAUGGAUCAGAGGACUUUAGACCAAGUUGCUCUCCAUUUGCGCCUUAUAGGCGAUGACUUGGACUCUCACAGUGUUUUGAAGCUCCGUCGGAACUUACCGUUACAAGUCCUUGCUUGGAGAAAUGUCUUUGAGGUGCUACGGCCGACAGGUUUCAUGUUGCAGGCCCUGAUUUGGAUCUGUGACAAAUAUGUCGAACACCAGUUAUAGCAUUGGGACUAUUUGCAAUCUUGUAUGUUCGAUUUACCUCAAGAUUAUGACUUAGGAGAUGUUGUGCUGAAUAAGGUCCAUCGUUUGAUGAUGAACAAGUCGUAAUCUAGAACAAGUCCACAUCGCAGCGAUAAAUAAACUAUGCAGUUGUACCGGGGAGGUAUUUAGUCAAAGAUCAUUCUUUAUACUUCUAGGCUCCGGCUCUGAACUACAAGAAUAAUUAUGUUCACGAGUGAUAGUCUAGAGAAGGGUCAACGGAUUGACAACUGCUCUGGUUUGUCAUCUUGUGACAUCAUCAACCGACCCUCAUACUCUGCUGCGGGAUAGCUGCGAUUUUUUAGAAAUGAACUAUUUCAACGUCAUUAUCAGUGUGUGCGUCCUUUCUGGUCCUGUUUUUUGAGUGCCUCGGGAUAUCUCAGGACAAAACUUUGGUCCAUACGCUACAGGGAUUGCAUCAGGUUGUUCACUUUCCACUGAAAGGACAUUUAUGUAUUGAACGUGUACUUCGUUCCGUUGUCUGCAUACGACUACAUUCCAAUUUUUAUAUGUCUUCUUAUGGUACAGACGAAAUGGACAUUCUUGACUUCGUCACGAAAGUAAUUUGCUCUGCACAUGUGCAGCCAAUGUCCACCUCGAGAGGCCAAAUAUUUGUGGUAUUCAAAGAUGACUACCUCACUACUACUACUAGGACGUUGUUUUUUAGGAAUCCAGCAAACAUUAUGCCUUUUCCGUUAUCAGAUCUAAAUACAAGAACGGGAGACUGUUUAUUGCGAGAUUGGCUAUCCUUUUCCAUACAGGUGCCCAUCUUCCUGUUCAUCUCAUAGACAAGCCGUGCACACAUCAGUUAUUUAUUAAUUUUGGAGAACAAGCCGAGGAGUUUAUCGGAACUUUUUUGAUUGCUGAACAAUGCAAAACUCCAGGGAAUGCAGCAAGUCUUUUCUAUUUUCGGUGGUAUGACAACACUGAGUGGUACAUGUAAGUUGUAGGUUUUUCAGAUUACCGUUUUAUUGAUUUUAUGGCAUCAUUCUGGAUGCUGGUUUAAACUUGACAUUAUUGAUAUAUGUCUUCCUUUUGAAUCCUGAAUAGGAAUUACGAUUUAACUUCCAAACAUUUACCUUCUAUGAAGUACUCAUUUCUGCAAUUAUGACAUAUUCCUUCAAAAGUCCAUAUAGGUAGAGAUACCUUGGCUAUUUGGGUGGGUUGAAUUAUUAAUUUAGAAUUUAGGAAGUUCUGUCUUGUCUCUGAAUAGAGCGGAGGCCAAUCUAAUGCUGCACUUUAGGUCUGUUCUAAAGGUUGGCUGAAUCAUUUUAUAUGAAAACCACGACUGGCUUCCAAUCCUGAGCGAGAUUAACAAGAAUUGAUUUUCGUACGGAUUUCUGACAAAAGAAUAAGAAAAUAUCAUGCAAAUGCAAAUACUUGAAUCAACGAAGGGCAUUCAUGACUUUUGGCCCUGUAUCUACAGCUUUCUAGGCUUAUCCCAGCUUGUUAUCCAGCAAUAGGUUUUCAUUGUGUAGAAAACGGUCCUUAUGUUUUUGUUCCAAGUGAACAAUGUUUCUUUCUUCUCACUUGACAAACAGACCUCCAACAACAUGCUUCAAUGGGCUUUGGUUCAUACAUUGAAAAAUAUCAAUAUGACAUGUAAUAUUUUGUCGCGGAAUCCUUCUCGGAAUUGGUACAGGUGCCAGGACUCAAAACAGGAGUAUUAUAACUCCAACACUCUAUAAUGUGAGUGCUAUCAUCAAAGCCAAAAGGACAUAUGACACGUGGCCUUUUUGUGAUCAAGCAUGAACUAAUUGAAUUUAGGAGCAGUGCAGCUGAUGACAUCAAGUAUGCCAAAUAUUUUCAGGGAUCAUGUAAAUUCCCAACUGACUGAUGUCACCUGUUAAAACCAGAACAUAUUAAGAUAGACAGUAACCCAUCAAUAUUUCUGGCGACAUCAAAAUUGAUGAACAAUUUCUGAGGGCACUUGUUGGGAUUUCGAGUGUUUUCAACCGCAAUGUGAGACAGUCAUUAAAAUUCCCAACUUACUGAUGUCACACCUGCACAUAUUAAAAGAGCAAACACGCCCAAAUCUCAGCUACUCCCUGUCAAACAUGACCAUUGGAAGGAAAUUUCUUUUUGUGAGCUAGUGUUUUGAAGAAAACAUGUUAUUUCGGAGUUUUCCUGUUUUCUUCAAAUUUUUUAUUCCAUGUAAAUGGUUCGGCCGUGGAAAGACGUCUAUUUCUUCCAAUGUGUUGCUUAAUAAGAAUAAUCAUCAAAUUCGAGAUGCUUAAAGUUAAAACAAAUGAAUACAGGUUUGAAGUAUGAUUCUGGAAGUCUGUGCCAUAGUCACUUGAGAGAUACCACCAACUCGUGUUCAAGACAAUACUGAGACAAUGGUCCCUUGAUCGGACAAAAGUAAUCAAGGUAUCUUAACCUCUUGGGUAGAGCAGUUCCCUGAACAUGCCAAAAUACUCGAAAAGGCUCUAUUGUUGUCUUGUAGGUAAUUUGCUAAGGCUAUAGACAAUAAAAUAAGAGGAUGAAGUCACAUAAUCACAACCAAUCAGAUGUAGGUCAUUUCAUCUUGCUACAGGCAUAACAUUAUUCAAUGAAGUUUGUUUAUCUGAGUUUGGUUUACCUAUGUAUGAGACUAAGAAUAUCAUUCUCCAGAGACAUAAUAGGCCUACAGUAUGUAGGUUUGUGCCAAAAAAGCUUGUUCCAGCUUUCAUUGUAUACUUUCAUUUGCAUCAGUUCUAUAGCUAAUUCCUUUUUGCCCUGUUAGAACACCUGACGGAACCCCUUGUCCAGUCGAGUUGAAGGAUAGUGUGAUAAAACGCCCCUCCUAAGUAUCAUAAGGUCAGAAGAUACUUUAUACCAAACAUUUUGAGCCCCCUUCUUCGUACGGUGAUAUCGAGGGCCAGUUCCGGGGGCCAGUUUCAGGGUCAACAAGGUCAACAGUCAAUGAUAUUAUCUAUGGUUGGUUUGCACUAUAGUUCAAAAGCGAUUCCAGGAUCCGAAGGGUUGCUAGAAGGAUUCCGGAAUAGCUCCGAGUGACAGUAACUUUUCAUUAUUAAUAGCUCGUGGCACUAAUUUUUCGAGACCCUGUGCAAGAGCGUGAUGCAAUCUAAUAAAUGUCACUAAAGCACAAAGUUAUGGUGGAACCCUCUUUUAUUCGGACUUCCCGCUUUCCAGCGGUCUCCAGAUUUGAGCGAUUUUACUGUACUGUUUAGAAUAAUCAAGGCUCCCUCCAGUGUAUAUAUUAUAUUAUGCGUUGUAAAAUAAUGGACUCGUUUUACCUUUGCUGAGUGUGCCACUUUUAUUUUGAUAUUUAGUACAUUGUAGUUGUAACAUUUUAAUGGCAUAACUUAUCAGACUUGCCUCGUUUCUGUCUUCAGAAAAUCCUUGAGCCACAAUUUGACAUGGGGCGAUGUAGAAUUCAAGAUUUCAUGGCUCCUUUAUCAAUUUCAAUGCCAUCAUUUCGAAUUUUUACCUAAGGUCACAAUUUGAAUGAUAAACUUCUCUGUAAAGGAAAACCUCUUAUUCGGAAAAUUGUGUAAUAUCAAUAGACAUCCUUUGAAUCCACCAACAGAAGGUCUUGCUACGACUUUUGAUUGGUCGGUGUAUUAACGUAUGCAUUCACUAUACACUAACUGAUUUUCAUAGAGUACUAACUAUAUUGUUUCCAAGGGCCUACUGAUUGAGUAAAAAUGGGUUAUCUUCAGUUUGCAGCCUAUGGAUGCUUUAUAUUACGCUCAACGAGAUGUAGCCACAUUUUCUUAUAACUCUUUCCUCUUGUGUUCAUUCUAGUUUCAAUGUAUUUUUAUUGUACAUCUCAAUUGUUUUGUAAAAAACGUUUCUACAUUUUUUUGCAAUUUUUUCUAACAUUAUCCAAGAAUUUUCGGUUUUGCAUUUUUUUACAUUGCCUUUUAAUGUUUUUGUGCCAUUUAUCAAGAAAAUAUCACCAUGUAUUAGAACACUUUGUAUAAAGCUUUAUAGUGUCACAUUGCUUUAGAAGUAUAAAAUACUAGUACGUGCUUACUCCAGCUUCACGAGCUAAGACUGUUGAUGAAUAUUCAGAUUACAAAAUUACAAUGAAUAAUGGUUGUUUAAUUUCGUUCAACAAAUCAUUUAGUCGGCCACAUCAAUUCACCCGAUGGCCAUAACGUCAUAUUUCGGCUUGGCCUUUGUCUCCAUUUUGUAAACAUAAUGGGAACUGUCUUAGAUCCGUAAAACUAGAAUUUGUAUAAUUUGCUGGGUAAUCAAGCUUUUUGAACGAAUGAAAGCCUUGCUGAAAUCAUUGCACUAAAUUCUUGACAAUUGAGUAAGUUAAUCAAUUAUUUCACGCAGUUUCAUUGCUUGACAUAAUUUAUUGACUUAAUUAACUUAUCAGGGUGAGUAAUUAUCUUCAAAAUUCUUGAAAGUACUAUUAAUCAACAGACGCUUAUAAUUAAAGACAUUUUAGGUUCGAAGAAUUACAUGUAUAUGUAGUGUACGUCGUAUUACAUGUACGUUUUCUAAAACGAAAAUGGCAAAUAAAGCUAAUCAAAAUUUGGGCAUUUAAACAAUUUUUUUUAUUUUCAAAAAAUGUAUGAAAAUACUAAAAUUCGUGUUUUCAUUUAUCUAGCUCAUUGUUUCAAUUCACUUCUCUAGUCAUUUAAUGGGUUUGAUUUUUUCGGAGAUAUAAUCCUUUGGGUGAGAUAACUCUUAUUCAAAGUCAAAUCUCGUGGAAACGUUGAAUAUGAGUACUCAUCGAUAUCCAUCAUCCAUUUUACCCUUGUUUUGUUUCAUCAUUCGCUCCAACAAAAAUUUAAAGUUCCGAUUUUUCAAUCCAGAUUUUCGAUCUUUACGAUUCGGUUGCAGCACUGUUAUUGUGCUUUAUGAUUCGGGAACAUGAGUUCCAAAGUGCUCAUUGGUAUCACUCUCUUCUGUAUAUAGUUCAUAGUUGUAAAUAAUAAUUGUAAACAGUAUCAAAUGCACCAUGACAAUUUAUGUACAUAUUGGUUUGUUUUGUGUAAAAUAUUUGAUGUUCACUUGUAUAGCAACUACAAGUAAUCUCUGUUAAUUUUGUCAAAUCGGCGUAUUCACAUUCAUAUCCGAUAGAAUGGAAAGUGGUGUUCAUCCUCAACAUGGAAUAUUUUAAUGAGCAUUGUGACUGAAUAUAGUGUUUGUGAAGCACGCAUGAUUUCAAAAUGAACACAAGUUCAUAUUAUGUUGCAUAUGUAAAUAUACAACUAUACCUAGAAACGAGAGAUAUACCUCUUAAAGAUUAGAAAUUUAUUCUUUUCUGACACAGAACCUUUUGAAACAGAAGCUUUUUAUAUUAAUCUGAACACAAUCAGAAUAAUUUCGUACUUCCGUUUCUAGGGAUACAGUUGUGCCAAAUUGUUGCUUGCACGAUCUCAUUAAGUACAUGUCUGCAAAGAAAAAUAUGUCCCAUUGAAAUAGGAAUCGCUUUGUAGAUCCAUUGUUUCUGUGGUAAUGAUAUCAUGAGCUAGUGGGUGGGGGUUAGUCAAAACACUCCAUUGUCAAGUUUGGUUGCAAAAUUUCAACUUGAAAAGAUGUUAGCUUAGAAGUAAACAUUGGGAUUUGGCCAGUAAUCACAUUGUUCAAAAUAUACGUAGAUUAGUAUAGUCUAAUAAAUUUUGCCUAGUUUCAGAUAGUUUGACAGAUUUUGGUUUAACGGAUUCAUUUUUAUUUGGCUGCCUCUUUUCAUAUCAAAAGAAAAACAACUAUUGAUAACUUGUAAGUUCCUCUUGACUCCAUUCUUACAAAAUAUCUCGUCACAUUUUGAUGACAUAAUUGCUACCUUGUGGUAAACGUCGCCUGGUCCAUUUUGACAUCAUCACAUAUUGUGAUGACGUAUUAUGGGGUUUUGUAAAUCAAACUGACUAACAACUGAGAGAACUAUAAUUUUGCUUGCAAACAAUACAUUCCUAUACAUGUAAUAGUUCUUCUGUUUCUAGCCUUAAAUUUUAAUUUUUGAAUACUUUUUGUUACCCCAGUUAGAUCCCUAUUUAUUCUAUGAUAUUGUAUCAUUUUUAAACAAUGAUAGCACCAUAUAAUAACAAAAAUUUAUAAGGCUCGCUUAUAAAUUUUUGUUGAGACCCUUCGUCGAACAAAUAUGGUGCAAAGUCUGAUGAAUAUGCAAUAUUUUGGAAGGUUUUUAGAUUAUCACCCUUUUAUACUCCGGAAUUUCAUAUUGUCAACAAUUCAUUCAUAAUGAAUCGUUGAUAUUGUGUAUGCAUGACUUCCCAAUGCCUCAGUGUAUUAAUGAGCUGUCGAAAACGCACCAAUUUAUGUACAGUUUGGGGAUGGUUUUGUUGGUUUGUAACAUCAGGGAUCCUUCGCACCCAUGACGAAAACUUCAAUUUUUAGAAAUCUAAAAUACAUGUACUUUCAUUAAAGUUGGAAUUAUGUAUACAGGUAUUAUUUUGAUAUUAAGAUACUAGUAUAUGUUUUUUCAAUGUUUGACUUUUUCCUUUCUAAUUCUUUGACUUUUCGCAGUUCAUGCAAUCUGUCAUGUCGAAUGUCUAGAAAAUUGAUGAAUAUGUGCAAUCGAUGAAACGUAGCAUUAGAAUAAAUAUGUUGGAGAAAACAAUAUAAUUUUUACCGAAAAAAAAAAAAAUUGUCAAAAAAAUGUCCUUUCUAAUAUUUAGCCACGAGUAAGAGUUUUCGUCAUAGGUCUGCGUUUGGAAGUAGAGAAUAACACCAUUUUAGAUAUCCAUGUAUAACAACUGUUUCAAGAAUCAAACAAUUACUGGUGAAGGGUGGUACCAACCUUAGCAAGUCAUAGUCUAGUUGUGUCUAAUUUGAAAUAUUUUACUGGGAAGUGGAAAGUAUCACUCCAACAACAAAUCUUCAAAAUCUUUGCGAAGCAGUGUGUUUGAUACCAAACUUAGCUAAUUUGAUGUUAAAUGAUGGUAAGCUAGUCAGUGAAUGACUUGUAUAGGAUAUAUGGGCAUUUUGUGUGAAUAAUGUUGGUAAGAAACGUUUUAAGCAUUUUCUCUCCUCAUGAAUGUUUUCUUGACACUUAUUAAGAGUGUACAUGUAGCAAAUCGGGGAAGAUUUUUGAUAGCACUGUCUCAAUAUUUAAAGAAACGUUAUUUUCUCAGUCCUAUGGAAAAUUCUAGAAUCGCGAUAACUCUAGGUUGGUAUUGGUUAUAUAGCUAUCAUUUGAACAAAAUUACUUGUCACAUAGUUUUGGCUAGGCCACUUUUCAUAGUACGAGGUCUACAUAUUUGGGAAUUCUCUCAAAUCGAAAUAUGCAUGGGAUGACCAUAACGAAUUUUGUGGUCAGUUAUUCAUUCUGCAGUCAGUUUUAGUGCGGGGGCUAAACAAACUAGGGUCUCUUUUCGGUUGAUUCAGAUUCUGGAGUUUGUCAUGUUUUUCCAUAGAUAUAAGAUAACAUAAGCAAACCUGAUAAUCACGGUCAUUUUCCAGAUCUGUUAUUUCAGUCGGAAAUACUGAUAUACCUACGCUGCAUUAUAUCUUUUCCCUGGAUUAAUUGUCAAAAAUACUAAGAGUCACUGACCUGUCUGCAGUCGUCCAGCACCACCACAGUUCUCUGCCACUUCUAGAAAGGUCAUAGACAGUACGUUUUGAUUGACGAAAUGAGAGAGAUCAAUAUAGAGAAAGAAGUGGCAUUGAAUCGUACUCGAGGCCGACUGGAAAAAGUGGGUUUUAGGCAACACUAGAGCAUUUUAAGGGGUCAUAAUUUCUUGUUAGAGUUUUCAGAGGUUGCUUGAUGAAAUAUUGUAAUAGAAAAAUAUUCCAACUUUUGAAGUGAUCUCAUUUGUAUCAUAGAUAAACUAUUGUUUUGUUUUUUUUGUACUCGAGACGUGCAAUAUAUUUUUGUUAAUCCAGAAAAAAGAAAUGGAAAUUGAAUAAACUGAAUAAAAUUUGAAAACUCC